GACGAACGCUGGCGGCGUGCUUAACACAUGCAAGUCGAACGAAGUGGCGAACGGGUGAGUAACGCGUAGGUAACUGCCUGGUAGCGGGGGAUAACUAUUGGAAACGAUAGCUAAUACCGCAUACUACCAGAUGGACCUGCGUUGUAUUAGCUAGUUGGUGAGGUAACGGCUCACCAAGGCAACGAUACAUAGCCGACCUGAGAGGGUGAUCGGCCACACUGGGACUGAGACACGGCCCAGACUCCUACGGGAGGCAGCAGUAGGGAAUCUUCGGCAAUGGGGGGAACCCUGACCGAGCAACGCCGCGUGAGUGAAGAAGGUUUUCGGAUCGUAAAGCUCUGUUGUUAAGGAAGCGGUACUUAACCAGAAAGGGACGGCUAACUACGUGCCAGCAGCCGCGGUAAUAC
rnacentral:rRNA from 1 species